GACGAACGCUGGCGGCGUGCUUAACACAUGCAAGUCGAGCGGUAAGGCCCUUUCGGGGGUACACGAGCGGCGAACGGGUGAGUAACACGUGGGUGACCUGCCUUUAGCUCUGGGAUAAGCCUGGGAAACUGGGUCUAAUACCGGAUACGACUCCGCGGUGCAUGCUGUGGGGUGGAAAGCCUUGUGCGGCUGGAGAUGGGCCCGCGGCCUAUCAGCUUGUUGGUGGGGUGAUGGCCUACCAAGGCGACGACGGGUAGCCGGCCUGAGAGGGCGACCGGCCACACUGGGACUGAGACACGGCCCAGACUCCUACGGGAGGCAGCAGUGGGGAAUCUUGCGCAAUGGGCGAAAGCCUGACGGAGUGACGCCGCGUGUGGGAUGAAAGGCCUUC
rnacentral:rRNA from 1 species